rnacentral:rRNA from 1 species
CCUACGGGAGGCAGCAGUGGGGAAUAUUGCGCAAUGGGCGAAAGCCUGACGCAGCGACGCCGCGUGAGGGAUGAAGGUCUUCGGAUCGUAAACCUCUGUCAGCAGGGAAGAACGGUCACUGUGCUAAUCAGCAGUGAAUUGACGGUACCUGCAAAGGAAGCACCGGCUAACUCCGUGCCAGCAGCCGCGGUAAUACGGAGGGCGCGAGCGUUAAUCGGAAUUACUGGGCGUAAAGCGCUCGUAGGCGGUAUGUCAAGUCAAGGGUGAAAUCCCCGGGCUCAACGUGGGAACUGCCUUUGAAACUGGCAGACUGGAGUGUGUGAGAGGGUAGUGGAAUUCCAGGUGUAGGAGUGAAAUCCGUAGAUAUCUGGAGGAACAUCAGUGGCGAAGGCGGCUAUCUGGCACAUAACUGACGCUGAGGAGCGAAAGCGUGGGUAGCAAACAGGAUUAGAUACCCGAGUAGUC